rnacentral:rRNA from 1 species
GGAUUUACUGGGUGUAAAGGGAGCGUAGACGGAGUGGCAAGUCUGAUGUGAAAACCCGGGGCUCAACCCCGGGACUGCAUUGGAAACUGUCAAUCUAGAGUACCGGAGAGGUAAGCGGAAUUCCUAGUGUAGCGGUGAAAUGCGUAGAUAUUAGGAGGAACACCAGUGGCGAAGGCGGCUUACUGGACGGUAACUGACGUUGAGGCUCGAAAGCGUGGGGAGCAAACAGGAUUAGAUACCCUGGUAGUCCACGCCGUAAACGAUGACUACUAGGUGUCGGGCAGCAAAGCUGUUCGGUGCCGCAGCAAACGCAAUAAGUAGUCCACCUGGGGAGUACGUUCGCAAGAAUGAAACUCAAAGGAAUUGACGG